AGAGGCGGUGACCAGGGCUUCAGCCUGGAGCGGAUGGACAGUCGGAAGAGCAAACUAAAAUGGUAGGAGGGACAACCCAGCUUCAGUAUUCAAGUGGUGUCAUAUUUCACAUCCUGCUUCAUACAGGCAAAAAGAGGGAUACUCCUGUGUCCGUGAGAAUCGUGGCUCUACUGCUCAACGCGAGCCACUUCGAUCUAUGGUGUUCACAUAUGGAUUUAAAAGCAACAACAAAAAAAAAUGUCGGUUGGAACUGGUACGUGUGGUACGCACCACAACCACGUAGGUCACCAAAACAAAGGAAAUUUAACAUCUAAGAGGUUUUAAAAUGACAGCAAUAACUUUACACACAGAGUCUAUUCUCUUUAAUAAUAUUACAGCAAUAACUUUACAUACAGAGUCUAUUCUCUUUAAUAUUACAGCAAUAACCGUACACAUAAGAGUUAGGACUCUCUGAAAUAUUACAGCCAUAUUUUAUUACAAUAUUACAGCCAUAUCUUACAUUGUACAAGUUCAUCCUCCUCCCAGACAGACUGAUGCUGCUGAUUCAUUAUAUAUAUAUAUAUAUAUAUAAUGAAAUAAUGAGACAAAGGUGUUGUCCCUUUAUGGGUGCUGAAAAGGUGAGAAACAUCGCCCCCGCCUGGUCAACAGACAGCAUUACGACACCAGAGAGAAGUGGCCCAAUGUUCAGGGUCGUAAGAUUCAUUAGUUCACACACCCUUUUCAAAAAUGUAGCAAAUCGUUUUGCAAAUUUGGAUUUCUUAUAGGACAAGUCAGGGAACAACCCUCCUUGUUUCAGACAGUUUUCUUACAUUUGGUGCUUAAUGAAUAGGACCCAGCUGUGUUGGGAUUUUCAGGCUGUGAUGAAAGCUCCAGAGUGGACAAAUCUUGUCGUUUAAUAUUCACAUCAACACAUAAUAAAUUAAAUGAAUGACAUAAUGUUUGAGAUGAUGUAGAUUUGUUUCUAAUCAGUGGGCUGAAACACAACAUGAUUCACUCAAUGUUUUCUGUUCCAAUUGUUCCUUCGGGUGAUUUUGGAGAAUCGGACUCUAGAUCAGCGGAACCUUUGGAACCCACUGAAGAUUCUAGAACAGCCAGUGAAUAUUCUAGAAGAGAGAAGGAAGAGAAUUCUGGAACAUUGUUCAGUUCUGGAAGCUUCUCGUUCCGUUCAAACCGACUCACCGACACAGAGACGCAACAAGCCGUUCUAAAAACCCAUUCCUCUGAGCCAAGAAGCAGGUCUGUAAGUGUACUUUAUGAGUGUGUGUGUGUGUGUGUGUGAGUGUGUGUGUGUGUACUGUGUGUGUGUGUGUGUACUGUGUGUGUGUGUGUGUGUGUUCAUUGUUAGUGUCUAUAUGGGGUCGGGGGCUGCAUGCAGACAGGUCUGUGACCAGUCCUUAUGUCUCCAAAGAGUAAUUGAACUAAUGUACAGGUCGAUCCUAGACCAGUCCAUCUCACCGCGGAGAAACAGCUGUC
rnacentral:lncRNA from 8 species